AACGCAAAUUGCACCCUUUGGUAUUCCGAAGGGUAUGCCUGUUUGAGUGUCAUAUAGACCUUCACCUGUCCUUUUUCUUGUAAUGAGAAACUGUGGCUCGGUGCUUUGGACGUAUUUGCCAUUAACCCUGGCUCGUCUUAAAUAUCUUAGUGGGAAACAACUUUUGUAAUCAAGGGUAUGAUAAGUCAUUUGCCUCACGAUUUCAAUAAUUCAUUUUCCACUCUAAUCUCUCUAUAUUAAGCUCUGACCUCAAAUCAGGUAGGACUACCCGCUGAACUUAA
rnacentral:misc_RNA from 2 species